GACGAACGCUGGCGGCGUGCUUAACACAUGCAAGUCGAACGGAAAGGCCCUGCUUUUGUGGGGUGCUCGAGUGGCGGACGGGUGAGUAGCACGUGAGUAACCUGCCCUUGACUUUGGGAUAACUUCAGGAAACUGGGGCUAAUACCGGAUAGGAGCUCCUGCUGCAUGGUGGGGGUUGGAAAGUUUCGGCGGUUGGGGAUGGACUCGCGGCUUAUCAGCUUGUUGGUGGGGUAGUGGCUUACCAAGGCUUUGACGGGUAGCCGGCCUGAGAGGGUGACCGGCCACAUUGGGACUGAGAUACGGCCCAGACUCCUACGGGAGGCAGCAGUGGGGAAUAUUGCACAAUGGGCGGAAGCCUGAUGCAGCAACGCCGCGUGCGGGAUGACGGCCUUCGGGUUGUAAACCGCUUUCGCCUGUGACGAAGCGUGAGUGACGGUAAUGGGUAAAGAAGCACCGGCUAACUACGUG
rnacentral:rRNA from 1 species